CAGUGAAAUUGAACUCGCUGUGAAGAUGCAGUGUACCCGCGGCAAGACGGAAAGACCCCGUGAACCUUUACUAUAGCUUGACACUGAACAUUGAGCCUUGAUGUGUAGGAUAGGUGGGAGGCUUUGAAGUGUGGACGCCAGUCUGCAUGGAGCCGACCUUGAAAUACCACCCUUUAAUGUUUGAUGUUCUAACGUGGACCCGUUACCCGGGUUGCGGACAGUGUCUGGUGGGUAGUUUGACUGGGGCGGUCUCCUCCUAAAGAGUAACGGAGGAGCACGAAGGUUGGCUAAUCCUGGUCGGACAUCAGGAGGUUAGUGCAAUGGCAUAAGCCAGCUUGACUGCGAGCGUGACGGCGCGAGCAGGUGCGAAAGCAGGUCAUAGUGAUCCGGUGGUUCUGAAUGGAAGGGCCAUCGCUCAACGGAUAAAAGGUACUCCGGGGAUAACAGGCUGAUACCGCCCAAGAGUUCAUAUCGACGGCGGUGUUUGGCACCUCGAUGUCGGCUCAUCACAUCCUGGGGCUGAAGUAGGUCCCAAGGGUAUGGCUGUUCGCCAUUUAAAGUGGUACGCGAGCUGGGUUUAGAACGUCGUGAGACAGUUCGGUCCCUAUCUGCCGUGGGCGCUGGAGAACUGAGGGGGGCUGCUCCUAGUACGAGAGGACCGGAGUGGACGCAUCACUGGUGUUCGGGUUGUCAUGCCAAUGGCACUGCCCGGUAGCUAAAUGCGGAAGAGAUAAGUGCUGAAAGCAUCUAAGCACGAAACUUGCCCCGAG
rnacentral:rRNA from 2 species